rnacentral:rRNA from 1 species
CCAAUAGCGUAUAUUAAAGUUGUUGCAGUUAAAAAGCUCGUAGUUGAAUUUCGGGGUCAAUACGUCGGUCGUGCCUUCGGUACGUACUGGUGUUAUUGAUCUCUCCCUUCUGAUGAAUCAUGAUGUCAUUAAUCUGGUGUCGUGGGGAGUCAGGACUGUUACUUUGAAAAAAUUAGAGUGUUUAAAGCAGGCUUACGCUUGAAUACAUUAGCAUGGAAUAAUGAAAUAGGACGUUCGAUCCUAUUUUGUUGGUUUCUAGGAUCAACGUAAUGAUUAAUAGGGAUAGUUGGGGGCAUUAGUAUUCAAUUGUCAGAGGUGAAAUUCUUGGAUUUAUUGAAGACUAACUACUGCGAAAGCAUUUGCCAAGGAUGUUUUCAUUAAUCAAGAACGAAAGUUAGGGGAUCGAAGACGAUCAGAUACCGUCGUAGUCUUAACCAUAAACUAUGCCGACUAGGGAUCGGAUGAUGUUAAUUUUUUAAUGACUCAUUCGGCGCCUUACG